UCCGCUGUACAAUCCCAAAAGCAGCACUACCAACACAAUCAAUAAAAAGCAAGCCCGUUUUUCGUUGGUUUUGCUGCCGAUCUGGACUUAUAACGGUAACACUGUAUCUAGACCGUACAGGCUAUGUCGCAGGUGAAACCAUUCUCUUGCAUGCAGAUGUAGACAACCAAAGCAUGACAACAUUGCUUGGUGCAACGGUUUUUCUCAUUGAGAGCGUUGAUUUUCAUACCCACAACAAAUC